UAGUUGGUAGGGUAAUGGCCUACCAAGGCGACGAUGGUUAGCUGGUCUGAGAGGAUGAUCAGCCACACUGGAACUGAGACACGGUCCAGACUCCUACGGGAGGCAGCAGUGAGGAAUAUUGCGCAAUGGGGGCAACCCUGACGCAGCAACGCCGCGUGAGUGAGGAAGGUUUUCGGACCGUAAAGCUCUGUCGAGCGGGAAGAAAUGCAUGGUGGCUAAUAUCCAUCAUGCUUGACGGUACCGCUAAAGGAAGCACCGGCUAACUCCGUGCCAGCAGCCGCGGUAAUACGGGGGGUGCGAGCGUUGUUCGGAAUUAUUGGGCGUAAAGAGCGUGUAGGCGGCUGAAUAAGUCAGAUGUGAAAUCCCUGGGCUUAACCCAGGACGUGCAUUUGAAACUAUUCGGCUAGAGUAGGGGAGAGGAAAGUGGAAUUCCUGGUGUAGAGGUGAAAUUCGUAGAUAUCAGGAGGAACACCGGUGGCGAAGGCGACUUUCUGGCCCUAUACUGACGCUGAGACGCGAGAGCGUGGGUAGCAAACAGGAUUAGAUACCCUGGUAGUCCACGCUGUAAACGAUGUUCACUAGGUGUUGGGGGUAUUGACCCUCUCA
rnacentral:rRNA from 1 species